UGUCUGCUUCCCAACCAUCAGUUGACCCAAGGCGCAGGCCUCUGCAGCUCCAGCUUGAGUCACCCAACUGGCCCUGCCCAGGACUGAUCCAUCCUCAGGAAUGGUUCUGACGACAGAAGACUGUCCAGGAAGGCUGGCUCACCCCAGCUCUCCCGUACCUGCUCCUUAGCUCGUGUGUGUAUAUGACAGGGUGACUGGGGUGGGGUCUCUCACCAGCGGGCUGUGGGGGCCCUCGAGGCAGGUCCAGCUCUGGUGGGUGGCUGCUCCGCGUGAUGAUGACCGGCUCCUCCGUCACGUUGAUGCUGUUACACUGCAUGAGGUCCUGCAGCAGGUUGAAGAUGUCCUCUGCCCUCGAACACUUGAAUGCAAAGAUGCCUGGGGAACCAGUACUCCUUCCUGCAGCAGGUCUCUAAGCACUUCCAAGUGUCUGUCCACAAAGUGGCAACACUUGACUGAGCACCUGCAACUCAAUGGCUCUGAAGAUGCCAGCCUGGGGAUCUGUAACACAGGCCUAUGGGACUCGGGGGCAGCUGAGGGGGAUGUGUGAGGUCAUGCACACAUCCACAGCAAAGAUAGAUGUUACCAGCUCCAGUACAGGGUAACUGAAGUUUGUAUAAACAGGACGAGAAAGACGGCACGAUAUGUGAAAGCUGGACAAGACCAGAAGGACAGAAGUGGUGAUACGUGGCUGUAAUCCCACACUUGGGAGGUGCCAAGUGCGGAUCAACCUCACCAGGAGGAAGGUGGCCUCUGCCUCACCUCUCUGCUCACACGCCAUGCUUGCCUGUACCACAGGGAUGAGGUGCAUGCCAGGAAAGGCCCUUCAGCAAUCAACCCGGAACACGCAUUGCUUUGUGCUGUCUCGGGAGAGACAGCUCUGUCUGCGUGCAGCACAGUCCCAAGAAGGACUCCUCGUGCUGAGCAUGUGUGGACCUAAGAAGCAAGGCCAGACCUCAUGUCCCAACCUCAAGCUCAUGAGCAGCCUGCCAGCCCCUGAGCCCUGCCUGUAGAGGGCACAUGGGCAGGGGAUACAGUAUACUCCACUGCCCACAGGUGAAGGUGGACAAAGGUCAGGCUCUGGAAGGUUACGCUGUAUAUGAGAGACCCAAAAUCCUGCUGCCCAAGUCUCUGUGCAAGCUCCUCAGCCCUGAGUAGCCAUUCUCCUGCCUGACUUCUCUUCCACUGUGCACGGAGGCCAGUGUGUAGGGCCUGGCAGCUCAGGAGGGGUUUUCCUAUGCAAAGGCAAUAAAGACCUUGGAACCAUGG
rnacentral:lncRNA from 1 species